UGGGGUCCUCCCAUCCCUAUUGGGGUCCUCCUAACCCUAUUGGCUUCUAUUGGGGUCCUCCCAUCCCCUAUGGCUUCUAUUGGGUCUCUACUGGCUUCUAUUGGGUUCCUAUUGGGGUCCUCCUAACCCUACUGGCUUCUAUAGGGACCCUAUUGGAUUCUAUUGGGUUCUCCCAUCCCUACUGACAUCUAUUGGGCCCCUACAUGAUCAACACGACGUCUAUAGGGUCCUCCCAUCCCUACUGGCUUCUAUUGGGUCCCUACUGGCUUCUAUUGGGUUCCUAUUGUGUCCUCCCAUCCCCUAUUGGCUUCUAUUGGCUCCUAUUGGCUCCUCCCAACCCUAUUGGCCUCUAUUGGGUCCCUACUGGCUCCUAUUGGGCCCCUAUUGGCUUCUAUUGGCUCCUAUUGGCUCCUCCCAACCCUAUUGGCCUCUAUUGGGCCCCUAUUGGUUCCUAUUGGGCCCCUACUGGCUUCUAUUGGCUCCUAUUGGCUCCUCCCAUCCCUAUGGCUCCUAUUGGCACCUAUUGGUUCCUAUUGGGCCCCUAUUGGUUCCUAUUGGGCCCCUAUUGGCUUCUAUUGGCUCCUAUUGGGUCCUCCCAACCCUAUUGGCCUCUAUUGGGCUCCUAUUGGUUCCUAUUGGGUCCCUACUGGCUUCUAUUGGGCUCCUAUUGGCUCCUCCCAUCCCUAUGGCUCCUAUUGGGCCCCUAUUGGUUCCUAUUGGGCCCCUAUUGGUUCCUAUUGGGCCCCUCAGCUGUGAUCAUAGAAUUGUUGGAGGACCCAAGUGAGGCCUUGGAGGACCUCGAUGGUCAUAGAGUUGUUGGAUGACCCCGGUGACGCCUUGGAGGACCUCGAUGGUGAUCAUAGAGUGCUUGGAGGACCUUGUUGAGGCCUUGGAGGACCUCGAUUGUGAUCAUAGAGUGCUUGGAGGACCAUAGAGAUGCCAUGGAGGACCUCGAUGGCGAUCAUAGAGUUGUUGGAGGACCCCAGUGACACUUUGGAGGACCUCGAUGAUCAUAGAGUUGUUGGAGGACCCC
rnacentral:lncRNA from 1 species